rnacentral:rRNA from 1 species
UAACACGUGGGUAACCUGCCUGUAAGACUGGGAUAACUCCGGGAAACCGGAGCUAAUACCGGAUAGUUCCUUGAACCGCAUGGUUCAAGGAUGAAAGACGGUUUCGGCUGUCACUUACAGAUGGACCCGCGGCGCAUUAGCUAGUUGGUGAGGUAACGGCUCACCAAGGCGACGAUGCGUAGCCGACCUGAGAGGGUGAUCGGCCACACUGGGACUGAGACACGGCCCAGACUCCUACGGGAGGCAGCAGUAGGGAAUCUUCCGCAAUGGACGAAAGUCUGACGGAGCAACGCCGCGUGAGUGAUGAAGGUUUUCGGAUCGUAAAGCUCUGUUGUUAGGGAAGAACAAGUGCAAGAGUAACUGCUUGCACCUUGACGGUACCUAACCAGAAAGCCACGGCUAACUACGUGCCAGCAGCCGCGGUAAUACGUAGGUGGCAAGCGUUGUCCGGAAUUAUUGGGCGUAAAGGGCUCGCAGGCGGUUUCUUA